GUACUCAUUUUGGCCGCACAUGUACCAAAAUUGGAAUAAUACAGGGCAGAUUAGCUUGACCCCUACACAAGGAUGACUCAAAUUGAAGCAUUGCAUAUUUUU
ensembl:snRNA U6 U6 spliceosomal RNA